UGCCAGGUCAGCACAUCCUGCAGGAUGUCUCCUGUGAGGGAUAGGAGGGAAUAAAACCUCCUAUCGUUCUUUGGGAAGAGCAUAGUGCUGUCCAAUCUGAGCUCAAGUCCUGCUUUAGCUUUGCACCCAGAUCUAAGCUUCCUCCUCUCAUUUUUCCUGUGUUCUAUGGACACAUUUAUCUAUUAGAAAAUGGGAGCAUCACUUUGCUCUCAGGGCCAUGUGUGCAGGGCUUGCUAGAAGCACAAGAUCUUUUACCAGUUCUCUUUUUAAUGUACCAAAAUUUCAGCCCGCCAACAAGGCUUUUAAACUUGCCUAUGAAAAAUCUGUGAAUGAUAUUGAUGCGUAAUGCUGCUUUUCAUAGAGUUUAAGCUGCUUUAGUGUUCAGUGUUACUUAAAUCCCCACCAAAACCCCAAAUUUAGUUUUCUCCCACAAAUUUUGACUUGGAAUCAUAGAAUCCCAGAGUGGUUUGGGUUGGAAGGGAGCUUAAAGCUCACCCAGCUCCAAUGCCCUGCCACGGGCAGGGGCACCUUCCACUAGAGCAGGUUGCUCCAAGCCCCUGUGUCCAACCUGGCCUUGAACACUGCCAGGGAUGGGGCAGCCACAGCUUCUCUGGGCACCCUGUGCCAGCGCCUCAGCACCCUCACAGGGAAGAAAUUCUUCCUUAUAUCCAACCUAAAUCUCCCCUCUGACAGUUUAAACCCAUUCUUUCUUGUCCUAUCACUUGUGUUAUGUCAAACUCCAUUUUAUCCCACUCCUACUCUUCUUGAAGAAAGGAGCAUUUAGGUACGAAGCAGGAUGCUGUUCUGGACUUGCUGUUUCCAGUUGGCUCGAGGAUUUAUAUGAGCAACUUCUGGGAGCCAGGUUGCUUAUUUUAAAUGCGAAAAUAGAUGUUGGCCAUACCCAGAGCAGGGAUCAUAGACUCAUAGAAUAGUUAAGGUUGGAAAGGACCUUAAGAUCAUCUAGUUCCAAACCCCUGCCAUGGGCAGGGACACUAAGAGAAGCACUGCAGAAGAGCUCAGCAGCCCUGAAGCCUGAGGUUUCCCUGGGGAUUUUGAGCUCAAACCUGAGUUGUUUUAAACACUCCAGAGUUUUAAUUUGAUAAAUGAAAUAGAAAUGGGCAUGGCAAAGGCCCAGGCGUUAAUCCUGACCCCUUAGGAUUUCUGAGGAGCAGAAGUGUGUGUUAAUCUAAAGCAAUUGUGCCACAGAGGAAAGAAAUUCAGUGGGUGAGAAACUGAGUUGUAAUAGUUUUGUUCCUUGAGCUGUUCCCACGGGGGCACAGGUUUGCUGUGCAAGAGCAGAGUCUGUUCUUUGGUUUUAAAUGUCACAGUGCUUAGAAAUGAGCCAAAAAACCUUGAGGGAAGAGAUUUCUAGGCUGUUCCAUGGUGAUACUCGCUGUCACACUCCAGUGAUGCUCUAAACGCACAAACCACAUUGGGCUGGCUACUCCUGUCCAGCCAUCUCCUGCUCCUGUGAGUAAAAAGGAGUAGCAAUGUACUGUAGGAUGUUUACGCACAAUAUGCAGUAAUAACUUGUGAAGGAGUUAAUUUUCUUUGUGUUAUUGAGUAGUUAAUGGCUGUAAGGAGACGAAGUAUGUAUUUUUACGUGCCAGGAUUCAUGAAGGCAGCUGCUAUGAUGUUGGUGGUUGUAAUUAGUAUUUUUAUUAAUCACUGCUAAAAAUCAGGUCUGUGAGUCUUUAUCACUGACUGCGGGUACCUUAUUCCUGUUGUGGGUCCUUGCUUUGGCUGUAGGCUGCUGGAUCGUGGGAUGGAACCUCUCAGCCACCUCUGCAGACAGACAGCAGUGUUUGUGCCUUGUUGCUUUAAUCAAAGCCUAACAGUAGCCUUUUCCUCCUGCUUUUUAACUUUCAAAAGGCCUAAAUACAUGUGUCCAGAGCAGAGCAGCAGAUUUAUGAUCAUCAUUGUUGCCAUGUGGGUGAGUCAUACCUGACAUGGUCCCGGGUCAUGCUGAGCCUUUGUGGGCAGUGAGGCUGGGGCGAUGCCAGUGACCCCACACAUCUCCCCAGCCCCAUGCAGGUCCCUCUGCCAGGCUUUUCCUUGAAAUCACCUGAUUUCCUUGGCACCGUGCGUGCAAACACCUCAGGAUAAACAGUGAUUGCACAAUGUGCCGAACUGAGGCUCAGCAGCUGGUUGUACUGGCACUGGUGUGUUGGUCUGGGCAGGUAGAGGUGAGGAACUGGGAGGUGUGGAAGGGGGCUUGGCUCCUUCAUGAGCAUUGCUUCAUGACUUGGGAGUUUUCUGUGUUUCCCUCACUUUGUGUGCCUCUGUUUCUUGCAGCAGGGGUGGUGGUGGCAGCUCCCCUGAGCUGUAGUCCAGGGGCUGUGGCUGCCCCAUCAGCAUUAUGGAUUGUUUAGAGAGAAGUGAUCUCAGGCAAAAUCUGUUCCAUCUCUGCCACCAGUGAUGGGGAAAAUCAGAAGGUGAGGAUAAAGGCUUCAAACCAGCCCAGGUAGCUUGAGUUUGCAUACACUGGCUGUGCCAUUAGAGCUGCUACCCCUGUAAGUCAUCCCCUUGCUGGCAGCUUGGCAGCGGAUGAUGGAGAAGCCUUGGGAGCAGCGACAUUGCUGCCAGUGCUUCCAGGAACCACAAACUCCAUGAGUACAUCCCAAACCUUCACCCUGUCCUCCUUCAAAGGGUGCUGCUGGUGCCACCUCUGCCUCUCCUCCUGCUCCUCUGUCUCUGAACACUGUUUGCAAAUGCAUCUCUGUGUUUAGUAAGAUCGAUGUUAUGUGUCUACUUGCAAUUUGGCUGCAUUACUGCUUUCUAAUGUGGUUUUGAAGUUUAAAAGAAAUGCAGUGUAUGUAAACUUGUGCUGUAUGUUGUGAACUCUGUGCACUUGAGCAUAAAUAUCCCAUCAGCAUUUAUUUACAAUAAAGAGAUUUUAAAAUAA
ensembl:lncRNA